rnacentral:rRNA from 1 species
AGAGUUUGAUCCUGGCUCAGAUUGAACGCUGGCGGCAGGCCUAACACAUGCAAGUCGGACGGUAGCACAGAGAGCUUGCUCUUGGGUGACGAGUGGCGGACGGGUGAGUAAUGUCUGGGGAUCUGCCCGAUAGAGGGGGAUAACCACUGGAAACGGUGGCUAAUACCGCAUAACGUCGCAAGACCAAAGAGGGGGACCUUCGGGCCUCUCACUAUCGGAUGAACCCAGAUGGGAUUAGCUAGUAGGCGGGGUAAUGGCCCACCUAGGCGACGAUCCCUAGCUGGUCUGAGAGGAUGACCAGCCACACUGGAACUGAGACACGGUCCAGACUCCUACGGGAGGCAGCAGUGGGGAAUAUUGCACAAUGGGCGCAAGCCUGAUCCAGCCAUGCCGCGUGUAUGAAGAAGGUCUUCGGAUUGUAAAGCACUUUCAGCGGGGAGGAAG